GAGUCAAAUGCUUGCUCUCAUAAGGACAAGGCGUGAUGAGGAGCGAAAUUAAAGUAGCGAAGGCUGCGACGUCACACUGCCGAGAAAAGCUUCUAGCCAGAGACGGUGCACCCGUACCGCAAACCGACACAGGUAGUCGAGGAGAGUAUCCUCAGGUGAGCGAGAGAACUCUCGUUAAGGAACUCGGCAAAAUGGCCCCGUAACUUCGGGAGAAGGGGCGCUGGUCGCAAGAUCAGCCGCAGUGAAAAGGCCCAAGCAACUGUUUAUCAAAAACACAGGCAUCUGCAAAAUCGUAAGAUGAAGUAUAGGUGCUGACACCUGCCCGGUGCUGGAAGGUUAAGAGGAGAGCUUAGCGCAAGCGAAGGUUUGAAUUGAAGCCCCAGUAAACGGCGGCCGUAACUAUAACGGUCCUAAGGUAGCGAAAUUCCUUGUCGGGUAAGUUCCGACCUGCACGAAAGGUGUAAUGAUUUGGGCACUGUCUCAACGAGAGACUCGGUGAAAUUAUAAUACCCGUGAAGAUGCGGGUUACCCGCGACAGGACGGAAAGACCCCAUGGAGCUUUACUGCAGUUUAAUAUUGGGUAUCUGUCAAGCAUGUACAGGAUAGGUAGGAGCCGGAGA
rnacentral:rRNA from 1 species